UACGAAGGGUGCAAGCGUUACUCGGAAUUACUGGGCGUAAAGGGUGCGUAGGUGGUUUUUUAAGUCCGUUGUGAAAUCCCUGGGCUCAACCUGGGAAUGGCAGUGGAUACUGGAAAGCUAGAGUGCGGUAGAGGGUAGUGGAAUUCCCGGUGUAGCAGUGAAAUGCGUAGAGAUCGGGAGGAGCACCAGUGGCGAAGGCGGCUACCUGGACCAGCACUGACACUGAGGCACGAAAGCGUGGGGAGCGAACAGG
rnacentral:rRNA from 1 species